GGUGCUUGGUGAUUUGAAGAGGUAAAAUUGGAGAGUGGGUGAGGGUGGUUCUCGUGUGGUGGGGAUUGAAGAGGUGACGCUAGGAAUACUGUGUGAGGUGGUCUUGGUGCUGGUGAUUGAAGAGGUGAAGCUGGGAGUACUGUGUGAGAUGGUCUUGGUGGUGGGGAUUGAAGAGGUGAAGCUGGGAGUACUGUGCGAGGUGGUCUCAGUGGUGGGGAUUGAAGAGGUGAAACUGGGAGUACUGUGUGAAGUGGUCUCAGUGCUGGUGAUUGAAGAGGUGAAACUGGGAGUGCUGUGUGAGAUGGUCUCGGUGGUGGGGAUUGAAGAAGUGACGCUGGAAGUACUGUGUGAGAUCGUCUCAGUGCUGGUGAUUGAAGAGGUGAAGCUGGGAAUACUGUGUGAGGUGGUCUCUGUGGUCUCUGUGGUCUCAGUGGUGGGGAUUGAAGAGGUGACACUGGGAGUACUGUGUGAGGUAGUCUCAGUGCUGGUGAUUGAAGAGGUGAAAUUGGGAGUACUGUGUGAGGUGGUCUCUGUGGUGAAGACUGAAGAAGUGAAGCUGGGAGUACUGUGUGAGGUGAUCUCAGUGCUGAUGACUGAAGAGGUGAAAUUGGGAGUACUGGGUGAAGUGGUCUUGGUGGUGGGGAUUGAAGAGGUGAAACUGGGACUACUGGGUGAUGUGGUCUCAGUGCUGGUGAUUGAAGAAGUAAAGCUAGAAGUACUGUGGGAUGUGAUCUCAGUGGUGGUGGUGAACAAGUUUGUUGUAGGAGUCGUGGCUGUUUCUGUGGUCCGGAGAAAGGAAGAGGUGGGUGGGAGAGUAAUGGUGGUGGACAAUAUACCUGUUGUAGUUGUGGAAAAGGUGAUUUUGGUCGUGGAGUCUGGGACAGUGCUAGUGGGAAAAGUAGGGUGGGUGGUCUCAGAUGUAGGUCUGUCUCUUAUACACAUCUAG
rnacentral:lncRNA from 1 species